CUUCAUUAACAGAGAACUCGCUGGAUUUUCCUUGGUUUUGGAAGUUGUUCCCAAACACAAAGCUACACAUGGAGAAUCACUGUUUUGGACUAAUUGCUUCAACUCUUUCCUGUUAAUUCGAGCUCCCCUGCAGGGCAGUGAAAUUGCUUGGCAGGAACACACCUGAAUCCCAUGUGAUUCAAGGUAACUCAAUCCCAAAGGCAAAAAGCAUAAGGGAGUCAUUUACUUUCCACAGUAAUUACCCCCACCCCAGGGACAACAUCCUCUAUGCCAU
rnacentral:lncRNA from 1 species